rfam:Sorghum bicolor cultivar BTx623 chromosome 1, whole genome shotgun sequence.
AUCCCAUGAUGGGGUCAAUCUUGAAUGUAUCCUUGCAAACGCUCUCAUGCUUCUGAAAUGGUUUCUGUCUUCUGUUGUUGGAAAUUGGUAAUAUUUCCUCUUAAGGCA